GACGAACGCUGGCGGCGUGCUUAACACAUGCAAGUCGAACGGAAAGGCCCUGCUUUUGUGGGGUGCUCGAGUGGCGAACGGGUGAGUAACACGUGAGUAACCUGCCCUUGACUUUGGGAUAACUUCAGGAAACUGGGGCUAAUACCGGAUAGGAGCUCCUGCUGCAUGGUGGGGGUUGGAGAGUUUCGGCGGUUGGGGAUGGACUCGCGGCUUAUCAGCUUGUUGGUGGGGUAGUGGCUUACCAAGGGUUUGACGGGUCGCCGGCCUGAGAGGGUGACCGGCCACAUUGGGAUUGAGAUACGGCCCGGACUCCUACGGGAGGCAGCAGUGGGGAAUAUGGCACAAUGGGCGGAAGCCUGAUGCAGCAACGCCGCUUGCGGGAUGACGGCUUUCGGGUGGUAAACCGCUUUCGCCGGGGACGAAGCGUGAGUGACGGUAAUGGGUAAAGAAGCACCGGCUAACUACGUG
rnacentral:rRNA from 1 species